ACUUGCUGUUCCUGGACAUUGAGGACCAUUCAAAACGCACGACCUUCCUGCUCCAAGAAAAAAGCCCAGUUACCUCUGGCCUCUGCACUUUGGCUCAUCAACAGGGAACCUUUGCCUCCUCCAAGACCAAGGCAUCACUCCAGCAACAGCUCCAGGGACUGAGCCACAGUGCCCGUAAGCUCCUAUAUGGGAAGCUUGAAAAGCUCAGAAAACUUUCCUAGCAAUUCUGCCAGGAGCCACUGAAGCUUGGAACUUCAAGAAAUGCCAAAGGUAUAACACUAAGGCCCGAGGACCCUUAGGGCCAGGUCUCCCAGGAAGAUCUUGCCUCCUCACUGAAGCCCCUGGCCUGGCUUCCUGCAGUGCCACACUCCGUGUAUUUGACAAGCUGAGUUGGACACUCCAUGUGGUAGAGUGUCAGUUUGUCAAAUACCCCAAGUGCGGCAUAUGCCUAACAACUCCAGGACAGGGCAGUUGGGAAACAACAAAUAAAUUGCCAGUUGAAUACAAGAUCACUCUCCAAAUAUGAACUAAGCUCUCACUUGAGGGAACCUAAGCAUUGUAUCUGAUGGUGCCAGGGGAAAAGUGAGGCAACUCUUGAAGCUACAGCUCUGGAUUGUUUCUAUACACAUUGUCAGAGUGCAAGCAGGACAUAAUGGUCUUUAGAAAGUAUAUGGCAUCCAGGGAUGGAAGUGCUAUUUGAUUCAUAUUUUAUUUCUUCACAUUCCUCUUACAGAGUCUCCUAGCAAGGACAACAUAAUUCUAACACAAGCUUCAUGACAGAGCUAAAAAUCCAACUUUUCUGACAGCCUUGGCUUCUAGACACACUUUGACCUUAUAUUUCUCUUCUUCCUCAUGUAUCUUCUCCUUCUGGAAAUACUUUAUUUUUUUCCUGCCUAUUCAAUUAUUUCUCAUACUUUUGGCCCAGCAAAAGCCCAGUCUCUCCAAGGAGUUUUGAAACACACCUUACUUUGGUCUUUGUAUGUACCCAUUUCUUCUAUAGUCCAAUGGCACCUCUUGAACUUUGAAUAAAUUUUUCCACUGUUAUUUUUGAGUUCUCCAUUAAAUUGUGAGGAUAAGACUAUGUUUUCUUAAAUUUCUGUCUCCUCUUUCCAUCCCUACAUCCAGUAACUCUGGUUACAAAAAAGCAAUACACUUUUACUGAUUGAUUGCUUUUCUACUAGACUAUUAUCCUUGGUUUUGGGUCAAGAUGCCAUCCAGAAAUUUUGUGAAAAAAAAUACACUGUGGUCACCAUAAUGCUACAGGGUGUGUGAGGUAAUAGCCAACAUCAAGGGAUUUUUCUCCUGAGAAAUAUGAUCAAGGACUGAAGUGUAAGGGCAAAAAGUAGGUUCAGAUGGCAAAUAUGUUUUAGAAUUAUUUGAUAACUCAAAGUUAUACAGGUGUUUUAUUGAAGGAUUUUCAGAGCCUUUAAUUUUCUAAUGUUGCAUUGGAAAUCUCAAAUAGAAAGAUUUACAGAAUGAAGCAUUUUUCAUUUGUAUCUAAUUGUGGAAUGUUUUUUCUGUAGGCCAUCUCUUGGUCAAAAUUUGGGAAACUUCCCUAGAGGGACUUCAUAUCUUCUCUCUCUUUUGUAGAUCUCCCUUUUUAUUUACUCUGUCUUCCAACUUUCCUUGACUUGCUAUUUUCUUAAGACAAAUUCUAGGUUAUCAUCCCAUGUUUGUUUAGCCUAUCAUAAAGCUUUGAGAUAACCCUAUACCUAGGACUGUCUUACUUACUUGUCUUGUAUGGAAAAAAUUAUUAGUUUGAGGGCAAAGAUGAUUCUUGCUGUAAUGAAUAUAUGCUCCUAGAAGUUCAGAGACCUGUUUCUGGUCUCUGCUCUAUCACUGACUUGAUGUGUGUGAUUUUAUACUGUCAUGUCCCUCUCUAAGCUUUAUUUCCUCAUCUGUAAUAUGGGAAAAUUAAAAUCAAUAAUCUCUAAGCUUUCUAA